AUUGAACGCUGGCGGCAGGCCUAACACAUGCAAGUCGAACGAGUGGCGGACGGGUGAGUAAUGUCUGGGAAACUGCGCGAUGGAGGGGGAUAACUACUGGAAACGGUAGCUAAUACCGCAUACCAUCGGAUGUGCCCAGAUGGGAUUAGCUGGUAGGUGAGGUAACGCCGCACCUAGGCGACGAUCCCUAGAUGGUAUGUGAGGAUGACGAGCCAAGCUGGAACUGAGACACGGUCCAGACUCCGACAGGAGGCAGCAGUGGGGAAUAUUGCACAAUGGGAGCAAUCAUGAUGCAGCCAUGCCGCGUGUAGGAAGAAGGCCUUCGGGUUGUAAAGUACUUUCAGCGGGGAGGCGUUACCCGCAGAAGAAGCACCGGCUAACUCCGUGCCAGCAGCCGCGGUAAUUC
rnacentral:rRNA from 1 species